GUCUCCUUGCCUGGCAACCACCACUGCCUCCGGUGUCCAUCGAGGAAGAAUUGAUUCCAAACCUGGGCAGACGCUACUAUUGCCAUAUCCAAGAAACCUUGGUCCUCACUGGCACUGGGAAACACAUUGAGGACCUUGACUGCUUCCGGCCACAUGUGUUGUUUGGAGCCCUGGUGGUAUCACCCCUACUCUGUCACUGGCUUGCUCUUGGACGGGAAUUCUAUGCUGUGUCUGUGACUUUGCUGUGCCCUGGUCUCCCCAGAGGAAG
rnacentral:lncRNA from 1 species